AGGGAAAGGAGAAAAUAUGAAUGGCGUUGUCAGGGAGAAAACUCCACUUGGUGUCUGGCAUCAAGAGGAGAACAGCUGAGUAACUGUGCUUGACGUUAAUUGACAUUUAGUGAAAGAAGUAAGGACCACCCACGGAAGUGAUUUCUUUGAGAGAGGCUGCUGGGAGCUUCCCCUAUGCCUGAGACAGGCCAAUAGCUGACCAGUUCUGAGAACUGACAACGUUUUCCACCACUGAAAAUUAGAUCCGCCUCCGUGAAUACCAUCUUUUAAAAACCCAAGCCCAGGAAUCUCUUUUGUUUCCAGCCUCAGAAGGUAUCAAAGGUCUGGUGAGGCCGGCCCUGCUCCCCGCAGCCUGUGCGGCCUGGAGGAGGCCGGGCCGGGCCCCGGCGGCUCCCGGGCAGGGGAUGGAGGCUGUGGGGAGCCUGGGGCCAGGCUCCUGGGCCAGGCCACAGCUGCUGACAUCUUGCCAACAGUGUUUUGCCCUUCUUCUAAUCCAUAUCUCACAUGGAAAAAUGACAGGCCAGAGAAACUUCCUUGCCUUGGAGUGAAGACUGUCUGAAGUGCUGCUCUGUGAAGUGCACAAGUUUUGGACUGGUAAAAGUACUUUGCAUCAUUUUCAGUGACUUCAGCACACAAGGAGGGAACAAAUGAGAUUUAUGAUCCAGAAAAGAGCAAAAGGAAGUUUGAAACUGUAGAAUGAACACGUUAGUUUUAUGCUUCUGGUAAAAUUAUCAUUAAUCUCAAUAAGAAUGAUAUUGAUAAUAAAGAUUUAUCAUUAGUUUUUAAAAAGAAGGCUGUCUGUCAUACAUGACUGCGCUCUUUUUUAGAAAUUACAGUUCAAAACCUAAAGCCUUUGAA